GGGAAGGUGGCUCAGUGGUAGAGCGCUUGCCUCGUAAGCAUGAGGCCCUGGGUUCAAUUCCUCAGCACCCCA
rfam:Dipodomys ordii contig_58767, whole genome shotgun sequence.